CUUUUUAGUUUAAAUAAAAACGUUUGCUUGUGGUGCAUAAAAUCUUGGAGCUU
rnacentral:tRNA from 1 species